UGGUAGGAAAACACUAUGGAAUUAAAUAGUUACAGUUUUCCAGCUUUAUUUAAUACAUCUUCUUUAUUGUUUAGCAGAAAAAAAGCUAAAUAAGUUUGGAACAAAUAAAGAAUGAGGCUAAAAUGGCAGAAUUGUCAGUUUUGGGCUAUUUUUACAUGGAGGUAAUCUUCUAUUGAUAAUUUCUGGAUUUUAAUUAUGCAAUGUUUUCAGCUGUUGAAUUCACCUCAGAUCAGUGUUGCUGUAAUUCCUGAUGGAAAGAAGAAUUGAAUGAGCGAGCAACGCCACAACUACAGGACCUCUUCUCAUAAUUUA